rnacentral:misc_RNA from 1 species
GGUAUAAUUGGACCACCUCGACCUGCUGUUGAUGCAAAGACGGAGGAGGGUGAGGAUGGUGAAAUGAUUGGGCCACCACGACCUCCGUUAGAAGAGGAGGAUGGGGAGAUGAUUGGGCCACCUCCACCGCCAUCGGGUUCAAUGGGGUCAGACUCGGAGGACGAUAUGGAAGAAGAAGAAGAACAAAAUCAGUAUAGGAUACCCUUGAGUAAUGAAAUAGUACUAAAAGGACAUACAAAGGUUGUGUCAGCUCUUACUGUGGACCAUUCAGGAUCAAGGGUUCUCUCUGGUAGUUAUGACUAUACUGUUCGGAUGUAUGAUUUUCAAGGAAUGAAUGCUCGGUUACAGUCGUUUAGACAGCUGGAACCAUCUGAAGGGCAUCAAGUUCGUAGUUUGAGCUGGAGUCCAACAGCAGACCGAUUUUUAUGUGUUACUGGGUCAGCCCAAGCAAAGAUCUAUGAUCGCGAUGGACUUACACUUGGGGAAUUUGUUAGAGGAGACAUGUAUAUACGUGAUCUUAAGAAUACAAAAGGUCAUAUAUCUGGAUUGACAUGUGGAGAAUGGCACCCUAAAACAAAGGAGACAAUUUUAACUUCGUCAGAGGAUGGUUCGUUGCGCCUGUGGGAUGUCAAUGACUUUAAGAGUCAAAAGCAGGUUAUUAAACCAAAACUUGCUCGGCCUGGGAGAGUUCCUGUAACAACAUGUGCUUGGGAUCGGGAAGGAAAAAGCAUUGCAGGUGGUGUAGGAGAUGGUUCUAUCCAGAUAUGGAAUCUUAAACCUGGAUGGGGGAGCAGACCAGAUAUAUAUGUAGCAAAUGCCCAUUCAGAUGAUAUUACAGGAGUCAAAUUUUCAAGUGAUGGGCGGAUACUGUUGUCAAGAAGUUUUGAUUGUUCCUUAAAGGUUUGGGAUUUGCGCCAGAUGAAAGAACCCUUGAAAGUGUUUGAUGAUCUCCCAAAUAAUUAUGCUCAAACUAACGUUGCAUUUAGUCCUGAUGAACAGUUGUUCAUAACUGGGACGUCUGUUGAAAAAGAUGGGACUACUGGAGGAAUGCUAUGCUUCUUUGAUCGAGGAAAGCUAGAGCUAGUAUCAAGAGUUGGAAUAUCUCCUACUUACAGUGUUGUGCAGUGUGCCUGGCACCCUAGGCUGAAUCAGAUCUUUGCAACAGUUGGGGAUAAACAUGAAGGUGGAACACACAUUCUAUAUGAUCCAACACUGAGUGAAAGAGGAGCACUGGUUUGUGUUGCUCGUGCACCCAGGAAAAAGUCUGUGGAUGAUUUUCAGGCAGAACCAGUUAUUCAUAAUCCACAUGCACUACCCUUAUUUAGAGAU